UGGCAGAAAUAUCAAAAUGUUAGUUCUCUUCCAAUGAUAAUGAAAGCAUGCAUCUUUUAUCCUUUGUAUAAAAGAACAUGAAUAAGUACACUACAUUUCUUUGUUCAUUUAAAAAUACAUUUCAUAAAAGAAAAAACAUUUAAUUAUCAAAUGUAAAGAAAUAGUAAAACAUUUUUUUUAAACUAUUGCCCCUUACAAAAACAAUCACUACAGUAGAAUCUUUAUAAAAGUCACUGUUAUGACCAGAGAAUACUGACAUUACAAGACAAAUUGAACUUUAAAUGAGGUUCAAAAUGUAUUGGUAUUGCAAAAGCAGGAUAUUUAGAGCCUGACAUGACAUGUUUUCACUUAAAAAAGAUGAUCUUUGAAGCUGGUUUGACUGUAUCAAUUUAAUAAAUUAAUUUAUUCUCAUGUUGGUCCCUUUAAUCAUUUCCAAAAUACUGAUAAUGUUCUGUUGAAUCAAAAUAUAAAAGUUUGAACAUUUGUCCUUGGUCUAAUUAAUGCCGCUCAAAUGUUUUAACCAUGUGUCACUUAAACUGCGAUCAUACAAUUAUAAGAAUUAACAUUUAAGGGCAUACAAUAUAAUUACAAAUUAGGUAAUGCAGUUGCAACGUAAAUUCUUAUUUUCGUCAAACAGUGACUUAUCAGGAAAAGAUGUAGUUUUUGGCUGAUUUUUAUCAUUCAAACUGAUUUAACUUGAAAACAACUUCAUGGAUCCCUCUUUUUUAAAAUGACAUUUGGUUUGAUUACGUAAGAAGAUUAUGUGUACCAAUUUUCAUGAAAACGUAAAUAGUGCAUUUUUUUUUAAUUUGAUUAAUAUACA
rnacentral:lncRNA from 1 species